GAUGAAGAACGCAGUGAAAUGCGAUAAGUAGUGUGAAUUGCAGAAUUCCGUGAAUCAUCGAAUCUUUGAACGCACAUUGCGCCCGCCAGUAUUCUGGCGGGCAUGCCUGUUCGAGCGUCAUUUCAACCAUCAAGCCCCAGGCUUGUGUUGGGGACCUGCGGCUGCCGCAGGCCCUGAAAACCAGUGGCGGGCUCGCUGUCACACCGGGCGUAGUAGAUUUUAUCUCGCUCAGGGCGUGCUGCGGGUUCCGGCCGUUAAAAAGCCUUUUUUACCCAAGGUUGACCUCGGAUCAGGUAGGAAGACCCGCUGAACUUAAGCAUAUCAAUAAGCGGAGGA
rnacentral:misc_RNA from 1 species